CUAAACUGCAUGAUCUUUGGCAGGGAUGCAUCGGCAGCCCUUUCGGCACUGUAGAGCUGCAUAAAAGAGCUUUUACAGAAACAGAGUGGAAAGGAGCAGAAUUUGAAUUUUCUUUCAGAUCCUGAAUGGUACAGCACACUGCUUUGAGCACUGUGAAGGUGGGCAAGCGCUAAAGUGAUUCGGUUUGCUGGUACCUCUGUGCUGGAGACCCUCCUCAGGGUGCCUACUGCUUGCUUGCUUUCCAAUGAGAGGCACGAGCAGAAACUGCUGUGGUUCUCAUCUGUGCUGUGGUUAAGGGCAUUACUUUUAAAUCUUUAUCAAAAUAAUAGCCCUUCACUGCAACAUCUACCUCCCAAGGAGUACUCCAGUCUCCCCUGGAAGUCAUAAUUUGAUCACUGCCCCAGGAGAGGUGGUGACCUAGGUGAACCGUUUGUACUAACUCGUAUUGCAGUUCUGGGAGCAAUCCCUGCAAGUAACCAGCUUUACCAAGGGUUUUGCCAUAACGCUAAGCAGCUUGUAAAUGGGAGAGUAUUUAUGAGAAUCCUUGCUGACAUUUGUGUAGUAGCAGCAAGAUGGGCGAUCUGUAACCGUUGGAGACGCUAUUGCUGGUGUGGCUAAAUAGCUAAAUACAAUUGUGAUGAGC